rnacentral:rRNA from 1 species
UACGAAGGGAGCUAGCGUUGUUCGGAAUCACUGGGCGUAAAGCGCACGUAGGCGGAUGUGUCAGUCAGGGGUGAAAUCCCGGAGCUCAACUUCGGAACUGCCCUUGAUACAGCACAUCUGGAGUCCGGAAGAGGUGGGUGGAAUUCCUAGUGUAGAGGUGAAAUUCGUAGAUAUUCGCAAGAACACCAGUGGCGAAGGCGGCUCACUGGCCCGGUACUGACGCUGAGGUGCGAAAGCGUGGGGAGCAAACAGG